rnacentral:lncRNA from 1 species
UGAGGGUGAAUUUGAAGUUAGGGGCUUUAAGGAGGCAACGGGAAGGCUUUAAGGUCCUAAAUUUCCUACAUUCACAAUCUGAACACAGAUAAAACUGAUUCUUGCUUCCUUGCUAAGUGGGUAUUUAAAUACUCCCCUAUUUCUUACUGACUCCCUUUCCUUUCUACAAAUAAAGAAAGAGUUUUGGGUAGUAGUUCCAUGUCUAUGCUUUACAUAUACCUUGGGAAUGGUCUAAAAUAGAACUUUUUUCAGUUCCAGAAACGAGAAUGUGUAUUUUUCACUUCUUGGGGGAGGGGGAGAGCAGGAAAAUUAAAACUAUGGAAACCUCUUACUAACCUGUUCAUCUCAUUCCAGUUCUUGCACCAGAUACGUAUUCAAAGCCCCCCAAAUAGGUAUUUGCCUGUUGCAGUGAUCCCCAUAAAUUCGUAAAGCCUUCUGGCUUUCCUGAGUCUACAGCACCCCCAGCCUGCACAGGCUCCUUCUGUAAGUGAAGAAUGAUAAUCAACGUUCUACAAAUCACUAGCACGAGAUCCCAGAAGGAACACAGCCCAGUGGAAGACGAUAACGGUGAGGCCCAGUGUGCGUGUGAGCAAGUCUGUAGUCUAUCACGAUUGGCAAGGGGAAAAUUUUCAUGUUUGUGUAGCUUUUUUUUUCUUUCUCUCCUCAGGCUGUAUUCCAUCCCUAAUGAUGUCCGAGAGCAGACGCUUUUCUUCCGCCACCGCAUUUUGAGAAAAAGAUGAUUUCCAUGUAUGUCUGUGUUUUAGACGUGCUGCCAGGGGCAUCUAAAAUCCGCAUAAGGAGAAGGACUAUCCUGAAUUGCAUUCAUCGCUAACACAAGCCUAACGGUUGUGGUACAGAGCACACUCUUCACAUAAAACCUUUAUAAUAUGCUACUGAAAUCUACUUACCUAAUUUGAAUAGAUGCGUUGAGGACCCAGCUUGACUUAACUUAGAAAGUGUAACAUUACCAUUUUUAUCAUCUAUAUGAAAUAAACAUGGAAGUGUUCUUUUAAAUAUUUGGAGA